UAAUGGUAUCGACACAACCGAAAUUUACAUCGAUACAUGAGCCGGACUGAAUCAAAGAAAUAUGUCCGAAUGGCCAUUUGGAACAACUUAUAUUAUUAUUUUAUCCGUCAUUAUGAUUGCUGACCACUCAUACUCUCUCUACAUGCGCAGGCUAAGAAGACAUCAGUUUAGCAUGUUUUAGUGUGACGUAGCUGAAAGUAGCGCUAGCAAGGCUUCACUCAGUAUAGUCGCUACAAAAUGCCGUUCAAACGUUUAAAUAGUUUUUUGAAGGAACUACUAAUGACCAAAUCUAAUGAAAUAUUCGGGCUGUUUGGAAGAACAAUAGUGUCGUAUGAGGAGGAACUUUCUCGACCACUGGGACGCAAGACUGCAACUGUGGCAAACAUUGCAGCAGAAGUCCAGGAGGUGAUUGGUUGUCAAGAAGUAUGUCCCCCUUAGUCGCAGCGGGGGAGCAAGCAAUAUAAUUCACACACAGUCCAUUUUAAAGAGGAGGAACUCUUGAUCAUUCAAGAGGGAUGGUGUUUUCAAGGGCAGCAGGAGACUGAUAUCGCCAAGUUGUCACUGACUGUUGUCCUUGUGAAGACUGAAAACCAUGAAGACAACCUCUUAGCCCCACUAUCAGAUAGUGAUGACUCAACGUUUCGCUCUCCUGAGGAGGAAUACAUGCUCAACGCCCAAGAACCUUUGAGCAGCGAUACAGACUGUGAAGGUAAUAUCAGGACUUGCGCUGACACUUUUUCAGAAUGCUGUGAAAAAAAAGGCAGCAACAAUAUCGCACAUGAGAUCACACAAGGGGCAAAAGCCUUUUAGUUGCCCCAUUUGUGCACAAAGAUUCUCUCAAAAGGCAAAACACAUGAGAAUGCACACAGGCGACAAACCCUCCAGCUGCUCAUUUUGUGGUAAAAGAGUAUUUCAAAAGGUAGAAAUUAUAUUACGUACACUGGUGAAAAACCUUUCAGUCGUUCAGUUUGCGGGGAACGUUACUCUCGAAAGUCCAACAUGGUAUCAGACAUGAAAACACACACGGGAGAAAAACCUUUUAGUUGCUCAGUUUGAGGUAAAAGCUUUUCUCACAAGCGCUAUUUGACUCAACACGUGGGGACACACACAGGGAAAAAACCUUUUGGUUGUUCAGUUUGUGGCGACAAAUUUGAAAAGAGGUACACUUUGAUGCGACACACGAGUACGCACACCGAGGAAAAGCCUUUCAGUUGUUCAGUUUCUGGCGAACAGUUCACUCGAAAGUCAUGAGGACUCACACAGAAGAAAAGCCUUUCAGGCUCUCGCUUUGUGGCGAAAGAUUCUCUCAAAAGUCACAUGUGAAAUCACGCGUUAGAUCGCACACAGGAGAAUAGCCUUUUAUGUGCUCAGUUGGUGGGAAGAGUUUCUCGUACAAGAAAACUUUGACAGCACACAUGCGAACACACAGCAUAUAAAAAUUCCCACGUCCAGUUUAGGCUAAAAUGUUUUAAUAAAUUGUAAUGUCACAUGUUAGAAGUCACCUAAAAAGUGAAAAGCUGCUGUGUAUAGGAUACCAUCAGCCCUACUUCCCACAGGACUUCAAUGUAUUUGUGGCAUUUGAAUCUUUUCAACAUGCAUGCAAAAUGUUUCCAAGUGUCCAAUAACACCAGAAGUUGCAAAAUAUGUUGCCAUUUUUUUUUCUGAAAAUAAAAUACAGGGACCUUGUUGUGUUCCACAUAGUG